GCCCACUCAGCUGCUGAAGAAUUUUGAGU
rnacentral:piRNA from 1 species